rnacentral:rRNA from 1 species
AUGUGCGAUCAUACCAGCACUAAUGCACUGAAUCCCAUUAGAACUCAGCUGUCAAGCGUGCUUGGGCGAGAGUUGUACUAGGAUGGGUCACCUCAUGGGAAGUGCUCUUGUUGCACUUU